ACGAUCUGCGGCAAGAGGAGGCCAAACCGGUGGUCGACGGUGACCACCGGCGAUGGAAAAAUGACAAAAAAAGAAAAUUCUUCCGCAACAAAAUCCAGCGACUCCGGUCGUCGGCGAGCGUGCACAUCGGCACGGGAAGGAAGGAGGAGAAGAGAGGAAGAGGAGGAGGCUUACCUCCAUCGCCGGCGAAGCUUUUCCGGCGAGAAAUUGGA
rnacentral:lncRNA from 1 species